ensembl:lncRNA
ACGAGUCUCAUUAUAACCAGUAAAAUCAUUACAAAUUUUGUAAUGGUGUCUAUUGUUUUUUGUUUGUUUUUUCAGUAGGGGUCCAUUGUGCAAACCUCUUUAAGCUUUGCUUUGCUUUUGUUAGAGGCACCUAUAUUAAAAUAAAUUGUACUGCAGGUACCAUGUUUGAAUGUCUUUGGAGGCCACUAGUAGGAGUCUGGAGACUCCUGUGCAGCCAUGUGACUGAUGACUCUGGUGGGAUAUUUGAGUGUCUGUGGAGGCCUCUGAGAAGAGUCUGGAGACUCCUGUGCUGCCAUGAACCUGGUGAUUCUGAAAUAAAACUUUCAGUGGAAGAAACCUCACCACAUUUUAGUGGCCAUAGCUCUGUCCGUCCGUGGUGAAGAGCCUCAAGUUGUUUCUCUUCACUGAGAUGAUCAUUUUGAAUGAAUUGAUGUCCAGCCAUACAACAGAGUUCUUGGACCUACGUUUUAAACCCAAGUUUAAAGACUGAGAAGAUGGAUAUUCUUCCUCUCAAAUCAUCUGCCCUGCUGUUCAACAUAUCCGCCUGACCGCCAUACCAACAUGGAAUGGAUUUCUACUUCCAGAAUGUAAUGUGUAACAACCAAGUUACUUUGUCAUUUCUGCCUACUCAGGGGACCACAAUUUGCACAAGCUUCUCCGUGGUUGUCUCCUCAAACCUCUGGACACCAUGAUCUUCUUUUUUGCCAAACUGACAAAGACAGUAGUGCACAAACAGACCUAAGUUGGUUGGUUUAGGUCCAUGCAUGGAGGCAUUAGCUGGCCAACUUGAACAUAAUGAAGCGCUGUACAAAUGAAGUGCUAUACCAAUGAAGUGUCCUUAGAUUUUAGAUUUUUGUUGUUUUAAAUAUUGUCUAAAAGCUGUGCAUGAAUAUUUUCAUACAUAAAUCAUGAUUCAUCCAUAGCUUCAUAAUUUUUUAGUAAAUUUGCCAAGUUUUUACACCAACUUUGUUUGCUCUCAGAUGAGAAUGCACCUCUACAGAGCAAGGUCAGGUUGACAUUCGUUGUGAAUCUGAACUUUAUGCACUUAAAUAUGCAGCAACUUAUAAGUGACUGUGGCCUGAUAUCUUUUGAUAUGUUUCCAUUAGGUUUCGUGCUGGUCAGUUCUCCACAGGGUAGUUAAUGAUUGUGUCUAGUACUUACAAUGGUUUCUUACAAUGGAUUGUACCACUGCUGAUGGAUUUUUCAUGCUGUUCUACUUGAACCUCUUAAGCCCAAGACACACUGCACGAUUUGAGCAAUUCUAUAAGAUCAUUGCAUGUCACACUGUGUGACAUGGAUCUAAUAAACUUGGCUAUGACGUAGACUGUACGUUGAUG